rnacentral:rRNA from 1 species
AUACGACCGUACCGCAAACCGACACUGGUGCGCGAGAUGAGUAUUCUAAGGCGCAUGAGAGAACUCAGGAGAAGGAACUCGGCAAAUUGACACCGUAACUUCGGAAGAAGGUGUGCCCUAUUAGUGUGUAGUGAACAACGAAGCAUGAAUGGGUUGCAAAAAAUCGGUGGCUGCGACUGUUUAUUAAAAACACAGCACUCUGCAAACACGAAAGUGGACGUAUAGGGUGUGACGCCUGCCCGGUGCUGGAAGAUUAAAUGAUGGGGUGCAAGCUCUUGAUUGAAGUCCCAGUAAACGGCGGCCGUAACAAUAACGGUCCUAAGGUAGCGAAAUUCCUUGUCGGGUAAGUUCCGACCGGCACGAAUGGCGUAACGAUGGCCACACUGUCUCCUCCUGAGACUCAGCGAAGUUGAAAUGUUUGUGAUGAUGCAAUCUCCCCGCGGAAAGACGGAAAGACCCCAUGAACCUUUACUGUAGCUUUGUAUUGGACUUUGAACAGAUCAGUGUAGGAUAGGUGGGAGGCUUUGAAGCAGGGUCGCUAGAUCUUGUGGAGCCAACGUUGAAAUACCACCCUGGUGUGUUUGAGGUUCUAACCUAGGUCCAUUAUCAGGAUCGGGGACAGUGCAUGGUAGGCAGUUUGACUGGGGCGGUCUCCUCCCAAAGCGUAACGGAGGAGUUCGAAGGUACGCUAGUUACGGUCGGACAUCGUGACGAUAGUGCAAUGGCAUAAGCGUGCUUAACUGCGAGACUGACAAGUCGAGCAGAUGCGAAAGCAGGACAUAGUGAUCCGGUGGUUCUGUAUGGAAGGGCCAUCGCUCAACGGAUAAAAGGUACUCUGGGGAUAACAGGCUGAUACCGCCCAAGAGUUCAUAUCGACGGCGGUGUUUGGCACCUCGAUGUCGGCUCAUCUCAUCCUGGGGCUGUAGCCGGUCCCAAGGGUAUGGCUGUUCGCCAUUUAAAGAGGUACGUGAGCUGGGUUUAAAACGUCGUGAGACAGUUUGGUCCCUAUCUUCCGUGGGCGCUGCAGAUUUGAGGAAGCCUGCUCCUAGUACGAGAGGACCGGAGUGGACACACCUCUGGUGUAUCGGUUGCCACGCCAGUGGCAUUGCCGAGUAGCUAAGUGUGGAAGAGAUAACCGCUGAAAGCAUCUAAGCGGGAAACUCGUUUCAAGAUGAGAUCUGCCGGGGCCUUGAGCCCCCUAAAGAGUCGUUCAAGACCAGGACGUUGAUAGGUCAGGUGUGGAAGC